AGCCAUGCAGCUGCCAUUUUGGAUCUGAGAGAGUUGGCCAUGCAGCAGCGUUUCGGAUCCGAGAGCUGGCCAUGCAGCAGCCAUUAAGGAUCCAAGAGUCGGUCAUGUAGCAGCCAUUUCGGAUCUGAGAGAGUCGGCCAUGCAGCAGCCGUUUGGGAUCUGAGAGUCGGCCAUGCAGCAGCCGUUUGGGAUCUGAGAGAGUCGGCCAUGCAGCAGCCAUUUGUGCAUGCUUCCCUUCUCCCAGCCCCACAGGAGACUGACUCUGCAUCCUGCCUCCUUUCAAAUGCAUCCUGUGCCAACAGUUUCUGAAAACGGAUAAACAAAUUGACAACCUCAAAUGCAAAGAUGAAACAUUUCUCCAGAUCAUCAGGCACAUGGUUUACUCAGGCCCAGAGGAGUGAGCUGAUAUAAAGAAGCUGUGCCACACAGUCGGAUGGGGUCCGAAGGAAACAAUAGGGCUGAGUGAUGAGUAUUGAAGAAGAAAUCUAAAGAAAGAAUGUCUUAUCAGCUGACCGCAAAGCUGCCUCCUUCUACCUGGCCACAUUGCUUAUCUAUUGUACUGCGUCUCUCUUGGAUGGAAACGAUACACCAAUCACUCAUAAGUGAAUAAUUUCCUUCUAAAUCACAGGCCUACACCUGAGGUGGCUGCCACAGGUGUAACCUGUUUAGACCAGCAAUUAUAUUUACUCCAUGAUGACAGAAAACAGGAAAGAUGUAUCAUACAGUGCAUUUGCUCCUGCUAUUUAUAAAUAGACCUCUUUACAUUAGCACUACAUAUGACUGUCUCAUCCACUUAUCAGCAAUUUAAUAUAUCACAGACAACAUGGGUUAAAAGCAAAAUAAGUUUCAAACACUAACCUCAGUUUACUCAUAAAUAUUUCACUUCUACAAACCUUGUUUAUUCAAGCUAUGGUUCUAUACAAAUUGGCAAGUCAUUCUUUAUUUUACUUUUCUGUGGUUCUAGACCCUUCUAGACUAAAGAUCUCUGACUUUACUGCUGCCUUUUCUAGAUGUUUUCCUGAGUACACAUGUGAGCUUAUUGUUAACAUCAGUCUCUUUCCCUUUAAGAACUGGUUUUUUUCUGAUGGCUGUGGUCUAAGAGAGCUCACUCUGGAUUUCUCUCUGUUAGUUUUCUAACAUAACCCACAGUGAUAAAUCUAUUUUAUGUUGGGAAUAAGGGAAUAUUUAUACGUAAAGUCAAACAAAAUUGAAGUUUACUUAUGCUUUUUUGCACUUUGAUAUUUUCUAUAUAUUCUGCCAUGUUCCCUAAUAUUCUCUGUUAUUCUAUUUUAUUUUUAAGAAAAUGAUUGGUCUCUACCCUCACAAUGAUUCUGCAAUCCACUGUGGGAACAUGACGCACAGCCUCGAGCCACUGUGGGAGCUUCCUCAUCAGAAGGGAGGGGUACCAGGGGGUGUGGUGAUGUGGCCCUAGGUGCGGGAAUUUCCAAAAGGGAAGCUCUGGUAGCAGCCUCUCAUCUAUAGUAUCAUAUUUUCAGUGUCAUCGUAACGCAGAGAAGUAGAAGAUUCAAGACUUUGGAAAACAGCCAUUUUCUCUCAAUUACAAGAAUAAUAACAGUAUUUGAAAGAUCCUAAAAGUGGUGAAGAUGGAGUAAGUGUUUGGUAGGGAAUCCCUGCCCUGGCUGAUCAUUAUGUCUGCCUUGGCUGUACAUGUGAUCUUGGUGGCAUUUCUGGACUAUCACCCAGAGAGGUGGGUUAAGACUGGUUAAGACCGCAGAGUCAGACCGCUUGGAGUUGAAUCCUGACACCACCGCAUUCUAGCUGUGUGACUUUAGAAAGUCCCUUAGCCUCUAUGAAAUUUAGUUUGCUCAAUCAGAAAAAGAGAAUAAUGACACUGUUCAUCUUACAGAAUUGUUGCAAGGAUUAAAUAAACUAUCAGAUGGAAA
rnacentral:lncRNA from 1 species